AGCGCGUCACCGACGCCGAGCCUCAUUGUCGCCGCCAUCGUUGACGAGCCCUGCCACCGCUGUCUCGUGCUCCAUCGCCGCUGCUGGAGGUCCGUCACCGAUCUAAUCUGAGAGAGAGGAGAUGUGAACGGAAGAGAAGACGGGGAGCCACCUCCGCUGUUGUUAAACCACCAAAGCUUCUGGCCGAGCUUCUGCCGCCCGAAACCCGCUGCCGUCGCCAGAAAAAGCGCUGAAGUCGCCGUCGCUGGAAUUCGUCGCCACCACCACUACCAUUAGAGAUGAAUCGAGUUGUUCUCUUGUUGCCGAAGAGUAGCGUAGCCAGAAGCGUGACAUUCUGAUAGUGAAGGUGUUACAAUUUUCAUCCACUACAUGGCUAGGCAGCUUCAGCAGAUGCUUGAAGAUGUAUGUGAAAGGUAGGACUGCCUUACUUAGUGGCUCCGGCCGGACAUUAGAAGGCCCUUUACGCCUAUUAGGAGAAUGAUGAGGGGUUCAAGGGUUGUUGAGCCACAAAUAGGUCCAACAGAGCAUCAGCCAAGUCGUUCAAGUAUAAUGGCAGUUUAAAUCGUUGCAAAGUGAGGCAACGAUGGCAAAGACCUUGAAGUUUACUCAGAGAACAAGGAGAGAUUUGCCGAUCGGUAGUCUGCGGAUUAUUAUG